UUGGUACACUUUAGUAUUUGUGUAAAACAUAAUUACACCAUUGACUUUAUAUGAAAUGACCUCUAGGUAUACAAGCAAAUGACGUUGUACUUUAUUUACAGUUCAAACCAAGCGUAACUUAUCUCUGUAUGGUUCCAACUUGUAUUCAAGUCACACGCGUAGGUGUAACAAUACGGAGCAUCGGAAGACUUUCCAAAAAUGUUUUUAAGACACCUAUGCAUUUGGCUUGUAACGAAAAACUGAAAUUGUUGUUGUUGGAAUCAAACCCACUGCUUCAGAGGACUCAGAAAGCAGGAUCGCCGUCCACU